UUGACGCCGCUUUGCCUUGUGAUGUUGCUGAUGACAGGGACAAAACAACACGGGGAGAGCUGUUUGUAUUUACCAUAACCGUCGACCACAUUAUAUAUUUUUUACAGCUGAUAGUUCCCCGAUGAUAAUACGGCCAAUAACGGGAUGUAGCCAAUAAAAUGGAGUAUGAUGAGAGACUUGCACUUUUCCGCCAAACCCGCCUCAAUCCCUUUGACCGAGGAGAGGAAGAAGAUGGUCCCCAAGGAGGGAAGACGCCGCCGCAACACGAAGCAAGACCUGAGCUGUUCUCAGGGACCAGAACCCACAGUUCAGAUCGGACUAUGGAUCUCGGUCUAGCUGAGGACCACUUCUCAAGGCCUGUGGGUUCUUUUGUGGCGUCCGACAUUGAACAGCUGAAAUUGGCCAUAGAGGAGUGUAAGAAGCUGAUAUUGGAGCUGCCAGAACAUUCGGAGAGACAAAAGGACACUGUCGUGAAACUCAUUCACCUGCGUCUCAAACUGCAGGAACUUAAGGACCCCGAGGAGGACGAGCCUAAUCUGAGAAUUCUCCUGGAGCAUCGUUUUUCCAAGGAAAAGAGCAAGAGUGUGAAACAGACUUGUGACAAGUGUAGCACUAUCAUCUGGGGCCUUAUCCAGACUUGGUAUACUUGUACAGGAUGCUACUAUCGUUGCCAUAGUAAGUGUAUGAACCUGAUCACCAAGCCCUGUGUCAGGUCGAAGGUCAGCCACCAGUCAGAGUACGAGCUCAGCAUCUGCCCUGAAAUAGGACUAGACCGGCAAGACUACCGUUGUGCAGAAUGUCGCACUCCUAUUUCACUGAGGGGUGUACCCAGUGAGGCCAGACAGUGUGACUACACGGGACAGUAUUACUGCAGCACAUGCCAUUGGAAUGACACAGCCAUCGUCCCAGCUCGUGUCAUCCACAACUGGGAGUUUGAACCGCGCAAGGUUUGCCGCUCUUCAAUGCGCUACCUGGCACUGAUGUUGUCACGACCUGUGCUGAGGCUAAAAGAAAUCAACCCACUGCUUUUUAACUUUGUGGAGGAACUAGUUGAGAUCAGGAAACUUCGUCAAGAUAUUCUGUUGAUGAAACCUUAUUUUAUUACCUGCAAAGAGGCAAUGGAAGCUCGGCUACUACUACAGCUACAAGAUCGGCAGCACUUCGUUGAAAACGAUGACAUGUACUCACUACAGGAUUUGAUUGACAUCUCCAGUGGCAGACUCAGCUGCUCCCUCACAGAGAUCCACACCACAUUUGCAAAGCACAUCAAACUAGACUGUGAGCGUUGUCAGGCCAAAGGAUUUGUGUGUGAGCUUUGUAAGGAGGGAGACAUCCUCUUCCCUUUUGACAGUCACACCUCAGUCUGCCACGACUGCUCUGCUGUCUUCCACAGAGAUUGUUACUAUGACAACUCCACAACUUGUCCUCGAUGUGCCCGAAUGACGGAACGCAAACAAGACGACAUAUCAGAUGUGAAAGAAGCGUAGCUCUAUUAAAAAAGGACCACCUGAUGUUACUGGAUGUUGCACUUUGCCUCAAGAUCAAGAAAGCCCGAUCAUAGUGUUACAAGUAGCUUCUCGUCUUUGUCUUUGAAGCUGCCCGAGGAGCCCCAUAGCCCUGGAGCUGACCUGAAGAACACUUCUAUGCUGUUUGUUAUGUUUAGUAAAUCAUUUGUAGAUCUAUUAUCAGAGAUUAAAAUGGGAUUUUACCAAUGUAGUCAUGUUAAUGCUUCCUCAUAGCGUGGAGAAAAAGUCAAAAGUCUCAAAGCGGAAAUGCUAAAGUGCAAAUUACCAUCCAAGUCCAAAAAUGUGACAGA